UACGGAGGGGGCUAGCGUUGUUCGGAAUUACUGGGCGUAAAGCGCGCGUAGGCGGAUUGUUAAGUCGGGGGUGAAAUCCUGGAGCUCAACUCCAGAACUGCCUUCGAUACUGGCAAUCUCGAGUCCGGAAGAGGUAAGUGGAACUCCUAGUGUAGAGGUGGAAUUCGUAGAUAUUAGGAAGAACACCAGUGGCGAAGGCGGCUUACUGGUCCGGUACUGACGCUGAGGUGCGAAAGCGUGGGGAGCAAACAGG
rnacentral:rRNA from 1 species